CACGGGGAAAAGAAGCUUAGAAUUCAUAAAACUUAUUGCUUAUGAUACAAUUCUGCCAUUACAAACACAACUCUACGCCAUUACAAACACAACUCUACAAUUUCAGAGCAACGUUAAUCCAACCCAAGAUAGGUGCCAAAAAGAAAAUUUAAAAGAUCAAAAGAACAAGGCAGAAAAGGAAAAAUUUUACAGAUUAUGGAGAGGCAAAAUAAGCUUGUUGUGUAUGUUUACCUCACUAUCCAUAUCUAUUACCUGGCAUCAUCAAUUCUCAAUUGGGAGAAAACUUCACUUGCCCAGAUGUUUGCACUGUCCUCCCUCAAGAUAGGCAUAUCAUCUUUUUCCACUGACAUGCUGAGAGUUGGAAAACGUUGAAUGUUAGGCAAGCCUAACAUGGCUGAAGCAUCAGUUGCACUGUCCUCAUGGGGCUCUCUCCAUGUCGCUGUUUGCUGCAAUUGCAAUGCAUACUCCAAGUCCCAUUGCACAUCUCCCAUAGCAGGCCUAUCAGCACCAUAUUCUUGCAGACACUUCUCUGCUAUCUCAGCAAAUUUUCUUAGAGAGUU
rnacentral:misc_RNA from 1 species